rnacentral:rRNA from 1 species
GACGAACGCUGGCGGCGUGCUUAACACAUGCAAGUCGAACGGAAAGGCCCUGCUUUUGUGGGGUGCUCGAGGGGCGAACGGGGGAGUAACACGUGAGUAACCUGCCCUUGACUUUGGGAUGACUUCAGGAAAGUGGGGCUAAUACCGGAUAGGAGCUCCUGCUGCAUGGUGGGGGUUGGAUAGUUUCGGCUGUUGGGGAUGGACUCGCGGCUUAUUGGCUUGUUGGUUGGGUAGUGGCUUACCAAGGCUUUGAACGGUAGCCUGCCUGCGAGGGUGACCGGCCCCACUACGCCUGAGAUACGGCCCAGACUCGUACGGGAGGCAACGGUGGAGAAUAGUGUACAGUGGGAGGGAGCAUGAUGCAGCAACGCCGCGUGCGGGAAGACGUCCUUCGGGUUGUAAACCGCUGCCGCUUGAGACGAAGCGUUAGUGACGGUACUGGGUGAAUAAGCACCGGCUAACUACGUG